rnacentral:tRNA from 1 species
AGAAAUUUAGGUUAAUAAGACCAAGAGCCUUCAAAGCCCUCAGUAAGUAAAAGUUACUUAAUUUCUG